UGAUGGAGCACGCCGCGUGUGUGAUGAAGGCUUUCGGGUCGUAAAGCACUGUUGUAUGGGAAGAACAGCUAGAAUAGGGAAUGAUUUUAGUUUGACGGUACCAUACCAGAAAGGGACGGCUAAAUACGUGCCAGCAGCCGCGGUAAUACGUAUGUCCCGAGCGUUAUCCGGAUUUAUUGGGCGUAAAGCGAGCGCAGACGGUUGAUUAAGUCUGAUGUGAAAGCCCGGAGCUCAACUCCGGAAUGGCAUUGGAAACUGGUUAACUUGAGUGCAGUAGAGGUAAGUGGAACUCCAUGUGUAGCGGUGGAAUGCGUAGAUAUAUGGAAGAACACCAGUGGCGAAGGCGGCUUACUGGACUGUAACUGACGUUGAGGCUCGAAAGUGUGGGUAGCAAACAGGAUUAGAUACCCUGGUAGUCCACACCGUAAACGAUGAACACUAGGUGUUAGGAGGUUUCCGCCUCUUAGUGCCGAAGCUAACGCAUUAAGUGUUCCGCCUGGGGAGUACGACCGCAAGGUUGAAACUCAAAGGAAUUGACGGGGACCCGCACAAGCGGUGGAGCAUGUGGUUUAAUUCGAAGCAACGCGAAGAACCUUACCAGGUCUUGACAUCCUUUGAAGCUUUUAGAGAUAGAAGUGUUCUCUUCGGAGACAAAGUGACAGGUGGUGCAUGGUCGUCGUCAGCUCGUGUCGUGAGAUGUUGGGUUAAGUCCCGCAACGAGCGCAACCCUUAUUGUUAGUUGCCAGCAUUCAGAUGGGCACUCUAGCGAGACUGCCGGUGACAAACCGGAGGAAGGCGGGGACGACGUCAGAUCAUCAUGCCCCUUUAUGACCUGGGCUACACACGUGCUACAAUGGGCGUAUACAACGAGUUUGCCAACCCGCGAGGGUGAGCUAAUCUCUUAAAGUACGUCUCAGUUUCGG
rnacentral:rRNA from 1 species